CAGCCUCAUUCACAGUAACUACAACAUG
rnacentral:piRNA from 1 species